CCCCGAUCAGGAUUAUCAGAGAUGAUGAUUGUCGGUUCGGCCGGAUCGGUGACAGGUGCUGCAUGGCUGUCGUCAGCUCGUGUCGUGAGAUGUUGGGUUAAGUCCCGCAACGAGCGCAACCCUCGCCCUUAGUUGCCAUCAUUAAGUUGGGCACUCUAAGGGGACUGCCGGUGAUAAGCCGAGAGGAAGGUGGGGAUGACGUCAAGUCCUCAUGGCCCUUACGGGCUGGGCUACACACGUGCUACAAUGGUGGUGACAGUGGGCAGCGAGACCGCGAGGUCGAGCUAAUCUCCAAAAGCCAUCUCAGUUCGGAUUGCACUCUGCAACUCGAGUGCAUGAAGUUGGAAUCGCUAGUAAUCGUGGAUCAGCAUGCCACGGUGAAUACGUUCCCGGGCCUUGUACACACCGCCCGUCACACCA
rnacentral:rRNA from 2 species